UAUUGCCGGCGAACGGGCCCUUCCCAGGCAGGAAGCACGUCGCUGUCCCCAGCUGCGCCCCAAGUCCGUCCCUCGCGCGGAUCCGCCUCCGCUGGUGGCGGUGGCGGGCAACACCUGUGGCCGCCCCUGGGAGGAGAGCGAAAUUGGCAGCUUGGCCUGCGGGGCGUCGGAAACUCAGAUGAAUGAAGAAAGGCUUCAACAACAGUUACAGAUCGAAUAACAACAACAACAACAACAACAAAAAACCACUGGAAAUGUUCCAACAAUCCAAUGAAAUAUAAUUCUGAUCAAAGAAGAUCCUCAAGUAUUCUUAGCUGAUAUAUGUAAAAGCUGAGGCGAUUUGUCGUCUGUUAUCCCCCUCCCCUUUAAAUAGCACAACAUUGCCUUUAACAACACCUGAAGAAUCGUUACAACUUGGGCUGUGGAAAACUUACAUUAUGAGACCAGAAAAGCUCUCUGAAGCAUUUAAAGAGCCACAGAACAGAGGUAAAAAUAUGUGGUGUAUACCUCCAAUCACCUUUUAUUUAUUUUGAUUAUUAGAUUAUAUUUUUACAUUUAAAUAUUUUUGUGUGUGUCUGUGUGCAGGCACAUGCAUGUCAUAGCAUGUGUGGAGGUCAGAGGACAACUCACAGAAGUUGACCUACCGUGUGGGUCCUAGGAAUUGAACUCAGAUUGUCAGACUUGGUGGCAGGCAACUUCACCUACUGAGCCAUCUCGCUGGCCCUUUCUUUUGAUCGUUUUAAUCAUCCUAGAAUAACUUAAUAAUAAAUAGUGGUUUAAGUUAAAGACACAACAGUCAUUUAUUUCUUGCAUUAUGAAAAAUAGGAAACAUGAAUGCAAUUUAUCAUUUCUAUUGAAAUACUUGUGGUGAUGGCUGGCCACGAAAAAAAUAGCAAUAAUCUUCAUGUUUAUGAAGUUCAAGUUGUUAUAUGUGUUUAAAUUUUUUGCAUAUUAAUCAAAUGCUUGGCUUUAAAGCAUAGCUUCCUUUUCAUGUGGUAUUCGGAAAACCCAGAAGCCAUGAUUCGUCAAUGUAAACGUUAGUAAUCAUUUUCAAAUCGUUUAAAAAUAAUUCACCUGUAGUUCUGAAAAUCAGCAACAUCUUUAAUGGUUCAAGAUUGUGGGGUUUUUUUUGUUUUUUGGGUUUUUUUUUUUUUUUGUCGUUUUGGAAUGGCCAAUUAAUUUCUGUGACUUGGGCUGGAUGUCACUUUAUAAUAUAGUAGUUUAUCACAGGAACGGAGUGCUUGUAACAGCAGUCUGUCAGUUCGUGGCAUUGCUUUUGUGCUGGGGUGCCUCCACCCCCCCAGGUCCUUCCGCUUAUCUUUGUAUUGCUACGGAACAGGGCUGGAUUCCUGUAUGGAAAAGGUUUGGUUGUUUUGGUUUUGGCUUAAAGAACAAGCAAAAGGGACUGGAGGGGAAGAGACAGCUGCUGGCCCUGCUGUCAGACAGGCAUUCCCUUCAUGCAAGUUUGAAGGUGGGGGUCUAGUGGUUAGCGCCUACCCCUCCCUGUAUCCCCAGGGGCUCCGCUCCCAGGCGACAUAGAAGCCACGACGUGAAAAUGUGUCACACGGGAUCCAUUUUCAUAUGAGCCCUGUGUUCACAUUUCCCAAGAUCCAUUUCCAGAAAGUCUUCGGGUAUGUCCUGUAACGCCUUCCCACGCUGCCGGUCUGUCUGGUUCUCACCUGAAUGAGAAUUCUGGCACAGGCCCUUUUUACAGGGUCUUACCAGGGCGAGGCACACGGCAGCCAGGCACAUGCCGGCUGCGCAGGAGUAGAAGGC